rnacentral:lncRNA from 1 species
AGGGGGAGGCCCCCAGGGCGGCGGCCGGUGAGCCCCGGGGGAAGGAACACAGGUGAGGCAGGAGCGCAGAGGGCGGCGCAGGCGGGGGCGCGUGGCAGGACCCCCGACCAGGGCCGCGCGGGGCUUCGCGCAGGGUAGUGAGACCCCCCCAAAGGACAACAGGGAUCCGCGCGGGGCCCCGGCGAGGUGCGGGGGGCAGGGGCGCGCGGCACUCACCGGGCGGCGGGGAGGCGAGUGCCCGCGCUGCGCUCUCUCCGGGCUCGGCGCUCUGGGCUCGGCUCGCGGCGGGGGGCGGGGCGAGCGCGGGGGGCGGGGCGGGGCGGGCCCUGGUCCCCGCGGUCCCCCUCCCCUCCAGGCCGUCUGCGGCACCGGCCCGGUCCGGCCCCAGAACGGCGACGCCCCCGCCUCAGUCUCUAACGUCCGCUCUGGCAGGAAAGCCCAGCCCGGGGGUCCCCCCUCCCCGCCGCAGCGCGCUCCUCAAAGUCGACGGAUCGGAAGCCGUCCUCACUCGGAGAAGCUGGACGCCUGGGUCUGGCGGCGGAGGCCACUAACCCCGGGCGCGGGGCCCAGCUGGCCGAGCGGUUUGGGGAUCCCCGUUCACUCUGGAGGCUGUCCCCUUGGCCGGGAUCACAGCCACCUGAUCCAAACACAGCCACUGGCUGGAAGGACUGAGGUGCCUCCAGAUGGCGGAACCCUAAGACGCCCGGAUCCUCGCCCUUGACAUACGGCGUGCUGAUAGGAGGGGACCGCAGCAAGUUACCCUGUAUUUUCUUUCCUCCCCCUCCUCCUCCCCCUCUCCCUCUACCCUCCUCCUCCCCUUCUUCCUCCCCCUACUCUCCUCCCCCUCCUCCCCCUCCUCCCCCUCCUCCCCCUUCUCCUCCUCCUCCCCCUCCUCCUCCCUCCUCCCCCUCCUCCUCCCUCCUCCCCCUUCUCCUCCUCCUCCCUCCUCCUCCCUCCUCCCCCUCCUCCCCCUUCUCCUCCUCCUCCCCCUCCUCCUCCCCCUCCUCCUCCCCCUCCUCCUCCCUCCUCCCCCUCCUCCCCCUUCUCCUCCUCCUCCUCCCCCUUCUCCUCCUCCUCCCCCUCCUCCCCCUUCUCCUCCUCCCCCUCCCCUUCUCCUCCUCCUCCCCCUCCUCCCCCUUCUCCUCCUCCUCCUCCCCCUCCUCCUCCCUCCUCCCCCUCCUCCCCCUCCUCCUUCUCUUUCUCCUUCUCCUUUGAGAGAGAGAGAGAAGGAUGAUGGUAGAGGGAGGGAGAGAGAGAGAGAGAGAGAGAGAGAGAGAGAGAGAGAGAGAGAGAGUCUUAAGCAGGCUCCACACCCCAUGCAGAGCCCAGCGUGGGGCUGGAUCUCGGGACCGUGAGACUAUGACCAGGCCAAGAUCAACCGUUGGACGUCGAGCCGACUGAGCCGCCCAGGCGCCCCAAGGUCCUUU